rnacentral:rRNA from 1 species
UACGAAGGGGGCUAGCGUUGCUCGGAAUCACUGGGCGUAAAGGGUGCGUAGGCGGGUCUUUAAGUCAGGGUGAAAUCCUGGAGCUCAACUCCAGAACUGCCUUUGAUACUGAAGAUCUUGAGUUCGGGAGAGGUGAGUGGAACUGCGAGUGUAGAGGUGAAAUUCGUAGAUAUUCGCAAGAACACCAGUGGCGAAGGCGGCUCACUGGCCCGAUACUGACGCUGAGGCACGAAAGCGUGGGGAGCAACAGG